rnacentral:rRNA from 1 species
UACGGAGGGGGCGAGCGUUAUUCGGAAUUAUUGGGCGUAAAGGGCGCGUAGGCGGCUGUACAAGUCAAAGGUGAAAUCCCUCGGCUCAACUGAGGAACUGCCUUUGAAACUGUACGGCUUGAGGCCGGGAGGGGGUAGCGGAAUUCCCAAUGUAGCGGUGAAAUGCGUAGAGAUGUGGAGGAACACCGAUGGCGAAGGCAGCCUCCUGGGCCAGCACUGACGCUCAUGCACGAAAGCGUGGGGAGCAAACAGG